ACUUCCGGCGCGUGGGCUCCCGGGCAGAAUGGAGCGUUUCCUUGGAAACCAGGCGAGUGAGCGCUCCAGUGGGCGUGGUAUUAGCUGAUGUUUGCAGAAUUAUUUCCACCAUGAUGGUUCCGCUGUGCUCCGUUUUAGUUGGAAGGACCUGAGGGGGAGAGGCGAACGUUUUCCUGAACGGAUCAAGUACUUGAAUUGCCUUUUUUUUUUAAAUUUGUUUUUCGAGACGGUUUCUCUGUGUAGUUCUGGUGCCUGUCCUAGAGCUCGCUCUUUAGACCAGGCUGGCCUCGAACUCACAGAGAUCCUCCUGGCUCUGCCUCUCGAGUGCUGGGAUUAAAGACGUGCGCCACCACCGCCCAGCUUUAUAAAGCUCCUCAAAGCCUUUUGUUUCUUACUGGCCGAAGCGUGACUAUGUGGAAAGGCUGAGUUUUGGUAAAUGGGAUAUUUGAAAUAAAAGAGGAGCAUUUGUUACUGCUGGUAAGAACUGUUUUUUGAAGAACUGGAUCUGUAGGCAUAAGAAAUGCAAAAGGAGAUCUCUGAUUUAGAUCAGUUAUUAAUUACACAUUCUAGUAGUGACCAUUACAGUGGAUGAAGUCCUGGGCCAAACGAUUUACAUUAACUCCAAAAUCUUACCUUCAUAAAAAACUGACAUCAAAAUAAACUGGCUUGUUUAAAGUCCCUAGCUAGGGCUGGCCACACACAAGAUUUCAGAUACCACUGCAUAGAUUAUGGGGCCUAUUGCAAAAUAGAAAUGCAAGACCUCCUCAUUUAAAAACCAGGAAAAUGUUUAUUGCAUUGUGUCUCCACUUGUAAUAAUAAUAUUAAUAAUAAUAGUAAUAAUAAUAAUACCCCACAAAACUGCUGUGGUGCCCCCUCGGUUUUCUCCAUUGCAAGGUUGCAGAGUUACCAGUAUGGACCCCAAUGAUGGCUGCAAUUUCUGCUUGAGACUCAAGAGUAUGUAUUUGAGCAAGAUGACAACAGUUGCUGGGUGGGAAUAUUGGAGGAAGAAGCUAGAGAACUCAUCUGGUCAGAUCUGAUCAAAGACUAGUGGAACUGAGAGUCCGUGAGCACACUCAACAGGGACUCAGUUUUCCCUGUCGUAAGUUCUUUAAAGUCCCUGAACUCCCACUGUGUUGCUGUGCUUGGGCUGAUCUAACAAAACCCCACAGACUGGGAAGAUUACGUGACAGAGGUCUAUGUUCUCAGACUUUGCCAUCAGGGUUAGUUUCCAGGCUCUCCAGUUGCACAUGUCUGGCAUGUAAUUUUGGCCGUAUUCUCUUACAGUGUUUAUUCUCUGCACAUUUGGAGAGCUCUCUAGUGUCUCUCUCUUUUAAUGGCCACAACCCUCUUGGAUUAAGAUCUUACAGUAAUGAUCUGAUAAAGCCUUAAAAUUAUUCCCACAAAUGUUUUAUCCCUGUUAUCACAUUAGGGAUUAGGAAUUGAAUAUAUGGACGGAGAGUAGAUAAAAUCAAGAUUUAGUUCAGAAAGCAUACUUCUAGAUUGCCUCAAAGUAAUCUUGACUUUCGGCCUUAUUGUUGUCAAUGCUAUCAUUUUCCUCGAUUUGUAAAUAGAACUCAUGUUUGCAAAUACAUUUAAACCUAGAUAUUUAGCGUCAGGAAAGAAUCAAAAACUACACUCAGACAUAUGUAGACAAUUUUCUUUUUACAAGAUUGUGAAGGUAAUUAAGUGGGCAGAAUAACAGUCUUUUAAGCAACGUGUGAGUAAAUAAUUAAAUAUCUGUAUGAAACACUUGUAUCACACCACUCCAGAACUAAAGAAACUGCAGAUACCAAAACGUAAAAACUCAAACUUACAGAAAAUAACUUAGAUUACAAAUCUUAUGACCUUGUAUUAGGUAAUGCUUUCUUACAUAUAAAAAGAUCCACAUGGAAUAUAUUGACGAAUGGCACCGAAUCAAUGACACUGCGAGUGUUUCCCCAAGCACGCCAUUAGAAGAAGGAAAGCACAUGAUGACUUCAUUCGUCAUUCUCUUCCUUUGACUAUAAGCACAGGUUUUGUGGUAUAAACUCUUAGCCACUAGGACUCUAGGGAGAGAUGACUUUGUAGGUCACUUUUAGACCCACCUGCACUUCAUAACUUUCACUUCAUAACCAAACAUCUGAGUUGAAGGUAACAUCUCAAAGUUAAAAACAAAUUGAGGGCGGGGCGGUGGCGCACACCUUUAAUUCCAGCACUCGGGAGGCAGAGCCAGGUGGGAUAAGUUUUAGGCCUUCUGAAGGCCUCUUGGCUGUGGCAAAAAACCGAAUCAGAUUGAAUCAGGGAAAGUCUAGGUUUAUUGGGUAAAAACGCUCCAGGGCAAUUCAGAGUGCAGAACAUGAGUCUGUUUUCUGGGAUGCAUAUAUCCCCUGUUGUCUUGAGCCUCUCUAGGGGAGGAGCUGUGUUUGGCAGGCUUUGAAGGGGUGGGUUUGGGGAAAGACAUGGGGAAGAAAGCAGAGGUGGAUCUUCCACCAGACUCCUUCCAAACAAGGCGGAUCUCUGUGAAUUCGAUGCCAGCCUGGUCUACAGAGCGAGAUCCAGGACAGGCACCAAAGCUACACAGAGAAACCCUGUCUCAACCCCCUCCCCCGCAAAAAAACCCCAAAACAACAAAAACAACAAAAUAAACCGAGGCCAUCAGGGCCUGAAUUGGCGGAGGACACAGAUGGCGCCCUCCCAGACUUUUGUUUGGGUGUGUGUGUGGGGGGGCAUUACCAGCAGCCACCUGGCCCCAACUCAGGUGGGGUGGGCAAAUCAGCAAGGAGCCUGCCUGGCACCAAAGGGUACCAUCUUACCAGGCACUGCCCUAGGUUUCUAGGCCUGGGCUCAGGAGAGAGGAAAGACAACAGCACUGAGCCAUUCCUUAGCUGGGGUGGUGGAUAGUACUCAAAAAAGAGCCACUUGUGACCCAACGAAGAGCCCUGGUGCUGAGCGGUUGGGCACCACUGUGGUGGGAGCGCACAAGAAGGGGAGGUGGAAGAGAGAAGAGACAGGGAGAGGCAGAAUGGUUAGUGGGCUGGGGAGAGAAACAGAUCUAGAGAGGCGAGGGUGGUGAGGAAUGGGCUGAUGUAAAUGGCCAGCUGGCCACCCAAGUCCAAGGAAAUGUCUGGGCCAGGUCUUGGUCCAGGGCCCUGGAGCAGCCGAGGGGGGCCUGUGUUGUUGAUGUCUGUGGCUCCUUUUGCCACUGGGAGAUGUGCAGGAGCCUCUGGUCUAAGUCACCGCCUGGGGCCAUGUUGGUGUCUGAAGGCCAUGCUGCUUCAGGGUCCAUGAUGGUAUUUGUGGCCCGAGCUGCCACCUGGGACCAUGGUGACAUCCAGGCCCCAGGCUGCUUCCUAGGACCAUGUCUGGGUCUGUGGUCCUACCACAGCCAGGGGCUGUAUUGAUUUCUCUGGUCCAUGUUGCCACCAAAGACCACAUAGAUGCCUGGGCUCUGGACUGCAACCUGUGGCCAUGAGGGUGUUCCAAGGGCUGUGCUGCACCUGGGACCAUGCUGAUAUGGGUGGCCAGGUCUACCACCUGGAGCCAUACAGAUAUCUGGGCACUGGCCACUGCCUGUUUAGGUCCGUGGUCCUGCUGCUGUUGGGGUCUGUGGUGAUGUUCAUGGCCUGUGUUAGCACGGGAGUCAUUGAAACAAUGCUGUGCUGAGCCAACCCCUCCCUUCACUGGCCCUGGGAUGGCUGGCCCUGCAGCAGGAGAGCUGGCCCUACCCCUCACCUUAGGCGUGCACCUCACCUGGGCACCACACUAGAGUUGAUCCUGUGGUUGGGGACACAUGUGGGAGAGCUGGCCCUGGAAUCACAAGAAUGGGAGAGCUAGCCCUGCCCCAUACUAGUUGUAGCACACAGGAGAGCAGGCAUGGUACCUUCCCUGGGCAAAACUGUAGAGCUGGCCCUGGUGAUGUGAAUGUCGGGGACCCGGAUCUGAGGACCUGAGAGCAGGAGCACUGACCCAGCUCCUUGCUGUAGGCUGCAUUGGGUGAGCUAGCCGAGGCAGUGCUGGAGAGCUCACCCAGGUAGUGAGGAUGAGGGAAAGCUGGCAGGCUGCUCAGCCCAGCUACCACCCAGGCUCAGAACCUGGGCUAGGAGUUGGCCCACCCCAACAUCCACCAAAUCUAUGAACAUGUUGGAGCAUGAACCUACAGAUCCAAAACAGCAGGGUCUCUAUCCAUGACACAGGACAACAGGAUAUCCAAGAGGACCCCUAAUGAGAGCCCGUAAUUGGUGGUGGAGACCUUGAGUCAGACCAAUGACUCGUGGCAAUAACACUUGCAAGUAAAGAUGAAUGGACUAAAGGGUAAACUGAGUGACUCAGCAGGGCCACACUACAGCUCCCAAGGCAAGAUUCUUCUCUUUCUGUCUUGUUUUGUUUGGUCUUUGGUUUUCCCUUUACAUUUGGUUUUGAUUUGGGGGUGGGGAGGGCCGAUGUGAGGAGACAGAGAGAUAAGUAGGAUCAGAACGCAUGAUGUGAAAUCCACAAAGAAUCAAUAAAAGUUAAAAACCAAACAAACACAAAACCAAAUUGAGAGGAAGAGGUCACACCAACAUGUUUCAGCAACUAUAAAUUGGAACUAUAAUGGUAUUUUAGUAAACUCUAAUUUAUAGUGCCACUAAUUACACAGCCUGAAGAUAAAUCCUUCAAGUACUGAUACAUAGUUUACACCCAUGAAAGGAAAGAUGACCAUCACAUGUAUGAACCACCAGCUCAUGAAUCCCUGUAUCCAAGACUCCCAAAAAGACUCCUUCCUUGUUAAAUUCUUCAAACUUCAGUUGAACUAAAAACUUUCACUUGAACUUUCAACUGACACCUAAAAAAAUUGAACUUUCACUUGAACUUAUUGAGGUCCAUUGACAGGUUUCCACAAUAUGCUCACUUAUCCAUAUUUUAAUUGCAUACAUCAUAAGAGCAAAGAAAUCCUGCCAGUUAGAAAGGCCUAUCUCAUUCAGUGACUAGAGUGUGUCUGUUUGGGCAAACUCAGAAAGAGAUUCCACAUAUAAUAACUGCACAGAUUGUUCAACAGACAGAAAAGAAUUGGAUACAGUUGCUGUGGAGAUGAGGAAAUUUGUUAUGAAACCUCCACAAGUCAUUCUAGUAAGAACCAAGAAAAUUUCUUUUGUCAGUUUUACAGUAUCUGUAAACCACUACAUCAUCAGCCCAAACAUCUCCUUGCACGUUUUUUAUUGGCAGAAUUUGGUACAAGUAGUUCUAUAGAUGGCAAUAACCAACUUGCAAUUAAAGGGCGAUUCCCACAGAAACAGAAAUAAUAUGUCUUAAGAAGAUGUAUCAAGGAAUUCUUGUUAAACAUGCUAAUCACCAGACCCAAUCCUGCAGAUUCUCGAUGCUUUAUUGCUGGUAUAAAAACUGGCUUCCAGGCUAUCACAGGCAAGCGAGCUCAGUUCCCUGCCAAAGUUAACUAGUUUGCUAAUCCCCACUAAUUUUCCCCAGUGUGUGGGCUGGAUGGGUUUACCAUCAGAGUGGACAUACCAUUGCGUUAAAAAUAAGACAGAAGAGCUGCCAAGUUCUCUGGCACUGACCUGAAAUCCUUGCAAGAUGACAAUAAUCAAGUUGUUGACAUACUCAUUACUUACUUUAACAAUUGCCAGAGAAAUACGAUGGGGGACCGGGGUUGCUUUUUAAAGUUGUUCUUUACACUUCUGUAAAAUGCAAGAUAAAUAAAUUAUUAUGGAGUGGUGAAACAUGAGUAGGGACCCCAGGUAAGUUUUGUUGGGUCAACAGUGGGCAGAACGCCUUUCUUCUGUAAGCCACUGAUUUCAUAUUCAUUGGUACUAUAAUGUUCCAUUGUUUCACCAUUAAUGAAGUGCUUGAUUCUCCUUGGGACAUUCUUCUCUUUAAACCUCUGGCUCCCAGUUCUACAUUUCUCCCUUUCAUUACACAUCACUGCGCCUACCAGACCACAUUUACAGCAAGGAGCCUCCCCUAGUUGUAAGUAUUUUACUGAGAAUUUUUCAUCCAUGCUUAUCAUUUUUUUUUUGCUGUUAGGUCUUUGGCUUUUAAUAUCAAGGUAAUAUUGGCUUUGUGAAAAUUACUUGGAAAUAUUCCUUCAUUUUUUAUUUCCAGUCUACUCCCAGUUAACUUUCUCUGCCCAGUGCUUGUGGAUCAAGAUGUAAGCUCUCCUCUGCUGAGCUUCCUGCCUGUGGGCCGUGCUCUCUACCAUGAUGGUUAUAGACUCUAACUCUGGAACUAGGCCGGAAGAGGGCACUGGGCUCCUGGAACUGGAGAUACAGACAGUUGUGAACCACCGUGUGGGUGCCUGGACCUGAACUCAUGUCCUCUGCAGGAGCAGCCUGUGCUCUUAACUACAGAGCCAUAUUUAUAGUCCCUGCUUUGUUUUAGGUAUGUUGGGUCACUUGUCCAUCAAAACCAGGAUAGAUCCCCCCCCGCCAGUCAGAAUGUCUGUCAUCACGUAAGUAAUAAUAAAUGUGGUGAGGAUGUUGAGUUUAGGAAAAGGAGCACUUGAGCAAUUUUGGUGGUAUUAUACAUUAGUCUGGACACUAUGGAAAUAAGUAUGGAGGCUUAAAAAACCCCCAGAACGAACCUUAAAUGUACGGUUAACAUAUGAACCCAUGAUACUACUUCUUGUAUAUCCCCAAAAUAAUUAAAGUUGGCAUAGAGUAAAGAUGCUUGCACAUCCAUGUUUAUUAUGGAACUAAUCAUAACAAAGUAUUAACUUAGCCUAGGUACCUGCCAGUGAAUGAAUGUCUCAAGAACAUGAAGUUAUAUAUUCACAACUGAGUUUUAUUUUGUCAUAAACAAGAGUGAAGCUGUAUUACUUUUAGGAAAAUAGAUGGAUCCAGAGAUAAUUUUAUGAAAUAAGAUAGACUUAGAAAGACAAACUAUUACAUUUUUCUCAUGUACAGGAAAGAAAGGGAGAUACAGAGAGAGACUUUUGGGAAGCAGAAAUAGUGUACUAUUCUUUAAGAAAAUACUGCAGUACAGGAGUAUUUUUAAAAUACUGUAUUUUAAAAACAAUACAGUACUAUAUUUGUACCUAACCAUAGUGGGUACAAAAAAGAGUAGUGUGGUGAAUAUGACAUUUUAUAUAUGUAUGAAAAUGUAAUAGUUAAGCUUAUUAUGUUAUAAAAUUAAUAUGCACUCAUUAAAAUAAUUUUAUUAUUAAGAAAGAUAAAGUAACUUAAAAACAAAUUGUGAAUAAAAUGGAUGGAGUCAUGAUGGCUAGCGGAAGGAGACAAUUGCUAGCUAGCAAUUGUUACUUACCUUCCUCUGAGGGGUUAAACUCUUUCUACCUACUAAGAGGAGACACGAAGAGAAUUGAUCGUUAUUGAUUCAUUUUGUGAAGUCAAGUACUAUUUCUGUAUCAUCUCUUCAGAAAUCAUCACUGCAUCAAAUACUUCCUGUGUUAAUGCCAUGCUAACACCCUCUAGUCAUGAUCACCAGUGACCUAGAUACUAAACUAUGAUACAGUGGUCUAGGUAAAGAUUGCCAGUCCAGUUAUUUGCAAGAUUAAGUCAUUUUGAAAGUAUGGGAUGAGCCAAUGACUCCUAUUUAUUUAUUUAUUUAUUAAUUUAUUAUUUAAACCACAGUUUCUCUUCCCACCUCUCCUCCUGCCCCCUCCCCCUGCUUCCCAUCUACCCCCUCUCCCCACUCACUCCUCCUCCAUCUUCAUUCAGAAAGGUGCAGGCCUCCCAUGGGCUCGAAUAAAGCAUGGCACGUCAAGUUGAGGCAUGACUGAGCUCCUUCUCUUGCAUCAAGGCUGUGCCAGGUAAUCCAGCAUGGGGAACAGGUUCCCCAAAGCCAGCCAAGUACCAGGACAGGUCCUGCUCUCACUGCUAGGAGCCUUACAAAGAGACCAAGCUACACAACUGUCACACACAUUCAGAGGGCCUAGGUCGGUCCCAUGGAGGCUCCCUAACUGUUGGUCCAGAGACCAUGAGCUCCUGCAAGCUCAAGUCAGCUAUCUCUGUGGGUUCCUCAUCAUGACGCCCCUGACUUGUAUAGUCCCUCCUCCCUUUGUUCAGCAAGUCUUCUGGAGCUCACCCAGUGCUUGGUUGUGGAUCUCUGCACCUGCUUCCAUCAGUUACUGGAUAGAGUAUCUGAUGACAGUUAAGGUAGCCACCAAUCUGAUUACAGUAGAUGGCUAGUUCAGUCACUGUCUCCACUAUUGCAAGGAAUCCUAGCUGGAGUCAUCCUUGUGGAUUCCUGGGUGUUUUCCUGGCUCCAGUUUUCUCUCUAUCCCUGAAAUGCACCUCCAUUAAGAUGUCUCUUUCUUACUCUUCCCCUCUGUCCCUCCCCCAGCCUGCCUCCCAAACCCAACUCCCACCCCACCCACUCUCUCAAGUUCCCAUUCCUCCAUUCCCCCUCCCCUGUCUCCAGUUUACUCCGGAUAUCUCUUCUAUUUCCCCUUCCCAGGGAAAUCCAUGUAUCCCUCUUUGGGCCCUCCUUGUUAUCUAGCUUUUCUGAGACUGUGGAUUGUAGGUUGGUUAUCCUAUACUUACUCCUAAUAUCCACUUAUAAGUACAUACUAUGUUUGUCUUUCUGGGGCUGGGCUAUCUCACUCAGAAUUUUUUUCUAGUUCUAUCCAUUUGCCUGCAAAUAAAGAAUUCAAGAAACUGGACAUCAAAAUACCCAAUAAUCCAAUUAAAAAAUGAGGUACUGAUCUAAACAGAAUUCUCAACAGAAGAAUCUCAAAUGGUUGAAAGACAUUUAAGGAAUUGCUCAACAUCCUCAGUCAUCAGGGAAAUGCAACUCAAAAUGACUUUGAGAUACCAUCUUACAUCUGUCAGAAUGGCUAAGAUCAAAAACACUAAUGUUGGAGAAGAUGUGGAGAAAUGAGAAUACUCCUUCAUUGCUGGUGGGAGUGCAAACUUAUACAGCCACUUUGGAAAUCAAUAUGGUGGUUUCUCAGAAAAUUGGGAAUCAAUCUAUCUCAAGAUCCAGCUAUACCACUCUUGGGCAUAUACCCAAAGGAUGCUCAAUCACACCACAAAGAUACUUGCUCAACUAUGUUCAUAGCAGCAUUGUUCAUAAUAGCCAGAACCUGGAAACAUCUUACAUGCCCCUCAACUGACAAAUGGAUAAGGAAAAUGUGGAACAUUUACACAAUGGAGUAUUUCUCAGCUAUAAAAAACAAUGACCUCAGUGACUUCUUUUCCUGUCUCCCAUGUGUAUCAUUGUCUAAUUUAGAAUCAUUGCUGAAUAGUAGAAUUUUCUACAGAUUUUUCACAUCCUUCCUUAACCACAUGAUUGUUAUUGAUUCCACAAAGAAUUUCAUAGCCCAACUGUCAAUAGCGCUAAGGUUAAAACUUAUUCAUUGAUCAUGUCUUAAACAACAAACUGCAUAGUGUAACAAAGAACCAAAGACUGAGUUAUGCGGAGACUAGCUCCAGAUGUGGGAACAAGGAAGGGGAAAGGCUUCUGUGGAGAAUAUCAAAUCAAUAAUAAUACUAAAUAUCAAUCUGGUUUUAUUAUUAAUAUGCAUUAUAAGCUUCUGGUGAAGGUCAUUGAUGAAAUUCUCCUUCCUUAAACACUAUGUAGAUUGUAAUAGUUUGCAAAGCCAACAGAUAUUUGGCAGGCUAUGGUUACUUCAAUUUUCCUGCUCAAUUUUAGUAAUACACUUGUACACUUUAAAAAUAUCAGCUCUUGUCUUUGAUAAACAAUCUUUGUAUGGAAGUAAACUCAGAGAGAUGCUCACAAUCAAUUGACUGCUGCCUCUUAUGCACUUGGCUGCACCUGUUUAAUGGUAAGUUUGUCAUGGCUUGGGAAUAAGCUCCUUCAUUUCCAGUACCUGUGAUGGGGCAACCUCCCUUAUGUUGGCUGCCUUCAAAAAAACAGUGAAAUGUCUUUCAAAUCCAUUCCUUCUCUCUGUGUUAUUAUCUAUACUCAUCAUAUCUUGUCUGCAUGAUAGACAUUGCUAGAAAACCGAGGAUCUUCCUAAUUCUAGUUUUAUAUGUUGCUAGACCAUUCUCUCUAAAGGAGAUUAUGUUGCUUAUCCAAUUUGUAGCCUUUAAUAUCUCCAUUUAUAUUUCGUAUUGUAUAAGGUCUGACAUGGUAGCCUGCCAUUCAAGCCCCCUGACCAUUCAUUACAUUUUAGUAUUACUAUAUUAUGGCUUUUCAAUCCCAUGGGUCCCCAUGUAUGACCUAUGCCCUGUAGCUAGAGUUUUCCUGCCUUGCCCACAGUCAGGACAAAUCUUUGUCACCCGCCAGUCCCACAGCUGCUCAGACCCAACCAAGUAAACACAGAGACUUAUAUUGCUUACAAACUGUAUGGCCAUGGCAGGCUUCUUGCUAACUGUUCUUAUAGCUUAAAUUAAUCCAUUUCUAUAAAUCUAUACCUUGCCACGAGGCUCAUGGCUUACCGGUGGCUUCACAUGCUGCUUGUCAUGGCGGUGGCUGGCAGUGUCUCUCUGCUCCUUCCUGUUCUCUCAAUUCUCCUGUUAGUCCCGCCUAUACUUCCUGCCUGGCCACUGGCCAAUCAGUGAUUUAUUUAUUGACCAAUCAGCAACACAUUUGACAUACA